GAUGAACGCUAGCUACAGGCUUAACACAUGCAAGUCGAGGGGCAGCACUAGGUAGCAAUACUGAGGUGGCGACCGGCGCACGGGUGCGUAACGCGUAUCCAACCUUCCCGUUACUCUUGGAUAGCCUUCCGAAAGGGGAGAUUAAUACAAGAUGGUAUUCAAAUUCCGCAUGUUAUUUGAAUUAAAGAUUAAUCGGUAACGGAUGGGGAUGCGUGACAUUAGGUAGAUGGCGGGGUAACGGCCCACCAUGCCUACGAUCAGUAGGGGUUCUGAGAGGAAGGUCCCCCACACUGGAACUGAGACACGGUCCAGACUCCUACGGGAGGCAGCAGUGAGGAAUAUUGGUCAAUGGGCGCGAGCCUGAACCAGCCAAGUAGCGUGCAGGAUGACGGCCCUAUGGGUUGUAAACUGCUUUUANGCGGGAAUAAGAUCAGAUACGUGUAUCUGCGUGCAUGUACCGCAUGAAUAGGACCGGCUAAUUCCGUG
rnacentral:rRNA from 1 species